rnacentral:rRNA from 3 species
UACGGAGGGUGCGAGCGUUAAUCGGAAUUACUGGGCGUAAAGCGCGCGUAGGUGGCUUGAUAAGCCGGUUGUGAAAGCCCCGGGCUCAACCUGGGAACGGCAUCCGGAACUGUCAAGCUAGAGUGCAGGAGAGGAAGGUAGAAUUCCCGGUGUAGCGGUGAAAUGCGUAGAGAUCGGGAGGAAUACCAGUGGCGAAGGCGGCCUUCUGGACUGACACUGACACUGAGGUGCGAAAGCGUGGGUAGCAAACAGG